AUUGAACGCUGGCGGCAGGCCUAACACAUGCAAGUCGAACGGAUGAAGGGAGCUUGCUCCUGGAUUCAGCGGCGGACGGGUGAGUAAUGCCUAGGAAUCUCCCUGGUAGUGGGGGAUAACGUCCGGAAACGGGCGCUAUUACCGCAUACGUCCUGAGGUAGAAAGUGGGGGAUCUUCGGACCCCACGCUAUCAGAUGAGCCUAGGUCGGAUUAGCUAGUUGGUGGGGUAAAGGCCUACCAAGGCGACGAUCCGUAACUGGUCUGAGAGGAUGAUCAGUCACACUGGAACUGAGACACGGUCCAGACUCCUACGGGAGGCAGCAGUGGGGAAUAUUGGACAAUGGGCGAAAGCCUGAUCCAGCCAUGCCGCGUGUGUGAAGAAGGUCUUCGGAUUGUAAAGCACUUUUAGUUGGGAGGAAGGGCAGUAAGUUAAUACCUUGCUGUUUUGACGGUACCAACAGAAUAAGCACCGGCUAACUUCGUG
rnacentral:rRNA from 1 species